GUUUCAGAAACUCCACAUCAGCAUUUAAUUGGUGUUUCUAAGUUCAAUAAGAAAAUGACACUUGUUUAAAAAUAACAUGUCAGCAUAUCAAACCUUAUACACCUAAAAAGACAAAUAUGCACUUGAAAAUUUUCAAACCCUGCCUAAACACCUUUUUCCCCUUCAGCAAAAUCAAAAGUCUCUCUCCAUCCCUGUUGCUCUCUCUCACCGCACCUCCAUCUGCUCUCUCGUUCUUUCUUUCUCUCAACUCCAAAGCUCCAUAGCCACUACUUAGCAUCGCCGCCGGAGCUACGCUGCCAAACGUCACCAAUUCCAACGAGACCGACCUUUGUCUCUUCGGAAAACCCCAAAAUCGUAUCUCCUUCUCAUUGCUUCCAACCCCGACGACGGAGGCUUUUUCCCCACUUCCAACACCAAAAGUCGCAAGAAGUUACUAAAUCAUAUUGUGUGAGCUGCCUCUCGAACACCCUAUCUCUAACGUUAGACCUCUACGAGAUUCACUCAGCCUUCUCUUCAGGUCUGUUGCACUUCUUUGGUUUCCAUUUAUACAUAUAUAAUUGUAUCUGUUGUCCUCAUGUCAAAUACAUAGUUUCUGUUGAUCAGUGUAUGGAUUGAAAUUUAUAUAAUGAACACAAGAAGGGACAUGAAAAAGGUUUGAAAUUUUUUUAUUUGCUACCAUGACUAUGUGCCUUUGGCGUGAUUAUUCUUAAAGAGGGAAGUCUGCCUUUGUUGGUCCAAAUGGUAAGACUCAUUACACUUUGUAUACUAACACAGAAAGGUGUUGGUCUAUUGUACUCUUUGUGGUUAUCUAUCAGACCUGGGCUCCUUUUGUAUAGACCUUAGGUUUUUUUUUUUUUUUUUUUUUUUUUGGUAAGUUGUAGACCUUUGUAGUUGUUUUGGUGUUGUAAGUUUUAUAGAUGCUAUAGUUGUAUUGAUGUUUUACUGCUGCUAGGUGUGUUUUGAACUAUUUUGAACGGCUUGAUUUCUUGUUUUUGUCCAGCUGUUGCACUUUAUUGCUUUUAUCAAUUUAUAGGAACUCAUGCAUGAUUACUUGAUUUAGCAUUUUGAUUCUUACUUUGUGCACAUGCCUUGGUGAUGAUACGAUUGAAGCAAUAGUCUGUCAAUAAUUUUUAUGUUUUCGUGUAACUUUGUACCACAAUCAUUAGAAUGGAUUCAUUGAAUGUUGGGAAAUAAUCAAAUUAGAUGUGCUCUUGCUAAUUAUACAUUUUGAUAGGAUCCUUUUUGUAUAUGCUAUGUCCUUAAGGGGUGGUCUCUAGUUGCUUGUGAGCAACAUUGGAAUGCAUUAACAAAUGAAGAGUAGCUUUCUAUUGUGGUUAUUCUUAAAA